rnacentral:miRNA from 1 species
UUCGCAUUACUAAAAUAUCGGUGG